AGGAUGAACGCUGGCGGCGUGCUUAACACAUGCAAGUCGAACGAUGAACCUCACUUGUGGGGGGAUUAGUGGCGAACGGGUGAGUAACACGUGAGUAACCUGCCCUUAACUCUGGGAUAAGCCUGGGAAACUGGGUCUAAUACCGGAUAUGACUCCUCAUCGCAUGGUGGGGGGUGGAAAGCUUUUUGUGGUUUUGGAUGGACUCGCGGCCUAUCAGCUUGUUGGUGAGGUAAUGGCUCACCAAGGCGACGACGGGUAGCCGGCCUGAGAGGGUGACCGGCCACACUGGGACUGAGACACGGCCCAGACUCCUACGGGAGGCAGCAGUGGGGAAUAUUGCACAAUGGGCGGAAGCCUGAUCCAGCAACGCCGCGUGAGGGAUGACGGCCUUCGGGUUGUAAACCUCUUUCAGCAGGGACGAAGCGCAAGUGACGGUACCUGCAGAAGAAGCACCGGCCAACUACGUGCCAGCAGCCGCGGUAAUACGUAGGGUGCGAGCGUUGUCCGGAAUUAUUGGGCGUAAAGGGCUCGUAGGCGGUUUGUCGCGUCGGGAGUGAAAACCAGGUGCUUAACACCUGGCUUGCUUUCGAUACGGGCAGACUAGAGGUAUUCAGGGGAGAACGGAAUUCCUGGUGUAGCGGUGAAAUGCGCAGAUAUCAGGAGGAACACCGGUGGCGAAGGUGGUUCUCUGGGAAUGACCUGACGCUGAGGAGCGAAAGUGUGGGGAGCGAACAGGAUUAGAUACCCUGGUAGUCCACGCCGUAAACGUUGGGCACUAGGUGUGGGGGACAUUCCACGUUUUCCGCGCCGUAGCUAACGCAUUAAGUGCCCCGCCUGGGGAGUACGGCCGCAAGGCUA
rnacentral:rRNA from 1 species